UACGUAGGGAGCAAGCGUUGUCCGGAAUCAUUGGGCGUAAAGCGCGCGCAGGCGGCCCCGUAAGUCCGCUGUGAAAGUCAAAGGCUCAACCUUUGAAAGCCGGUGGAUACUGUGGGGCUAGAGUCCGGAAGAGGCGAGUGGAAUUCCUGGUGUAGCGGUGGAAUGCGCAGAUAUCAGGAGGAACACCGGUGGCGAAGGCGCCACUCUGGGCCGGAACUGACGCUGAGACGCGAAAGCGUGGGGAGCGAACAGG
rnacentral:rRNA from 1 species